GCUCACGCCUGUAAAUCCAGCAUUUUGGGAGGCCGAGGUGGGUGGAUCACCUGAGGUCAGGAGUUCGAGACCAGCCUGGGCAACAUGGGGAACCCCCGUCUCAACUAAAAAUACAAAAGUUAGCCUGGCGUGGUGGCGCGCAUCUAUAGUCCUAACUAGGGGAAUCUGGGGUGGGAGGAUCGCUUGAUCCCAGGAGUUGAGGCUUCAGUGAGCUGUGAUCGUGCCACUGCGCUCUAGCCACUGGGCAACAGAGUGAGACUGUCUCAAGGGAAAAAAAAAGGUAUGUUCACGUCCUGCCCUCCGUGCCUGCUGUGCACGGGACCUCAUUUGGAAUCAGGGUCUUUACAGAUGUGCUCAGGGCUAGAUGAGACUGCAGUGGAUUACAGUGAGCCUUUUCCAACGACUCCUGUCCUUACAACAAGAGGGAGACUUGGACACACACCUAGCCCUAUACAGGGGAAAUAGAGCCGUGUGAACACGGAGGCAGAGGCUAGGGUGACACAGCCACAAGCCGGGGAUUGCUGAGAGCCCCAGGAAGCCGGGAGAGGCAGGAAGGACGCGCCCCGGGAGCUUCCAGAGGGCCCCCGGCCCUGCGGACACCUUGAUUUUGGACUUCCGCCUCCGGAGCUGGGAAGGCAUAUAUUUCGGUUGUUUUAAACCCCCCGGGGUUUGUGGCGCCGUGUUCUGGCAGGAAACAGGCCGACCCAAAAGUUGAACAGAGCCCAUGGUUUUCUGGAGGAAGGGUGUGUGGGCUGGGGGAACAGCCACGGCAGAGGCCCCGAGGUGUGGCGGGAGUCUGGUGAAGCUAAAGGAGAGAG
rnacentral:lncRNA from 1 species